rnacentral:lncRNA from 1 species
UUUAUUAUUACUAUUUGAUUUCGUGUGUGUGUGUGUGUGUGUGUGUGUGUGUGUGUGUGUGUGUGUGUGUGUGUGUGUGUCUUUGUUUGAGUGAGUGAAUGUGUGGAUGUUCACAAAAGCCAGAAUGGGGCAUUGGGUCUCCUGGAGCUAAAAUAACAAGCAGUUGUGAGCUACCUGAAGACAUGGGUGCUAGGAACUGAAAUCAGACCCUUAAAGAGCAGCCAGCACUCUUAACCAGCAGCAAACACUUUUGACCACUUAGCCAUCUCUCCAGCCCUUUCUUCCUUUGUCUUAGUCUCAGGAAGAUGGGAAAGAUUCUUGUAUCUUCUCUGUCCUGUUUUCCCCCUCGAUUCCCCGACACCUACUCCUGCAACUCAGUGUAUCAUAUUAAUUGAAAGUCUUUUAAGGGUGGCCAAUCUGUAUUUGCUUUUGGAAAUCCAGAAUGAACACUAUUUAGUAAACUUCUAUGUGUCAUGUAAAUUCUUAAUUCUUUGGAGAAACACAAAUGGUCUGAAUUUACUCUCUAAUGCCUUGACUUCAACCAUCGGGAAAAGAAAAUCAUUUACAUUUAGAACUGACAAGAAACAGACUCAGUUGUCUCUAAAAUGUAUGCGUUAAGAAUACUCUGCCAAGGACAUUGUAUAAAGGCAAAAGAUAAUAAACUUAAAAUGUAUAUACUAGUCAAGGAAGGUUUUACACAUAUAACAGUAUGAUCCACUUCUACAACUAAGCGCCUUGUACUAAAUACUAAAUUAAUGCCAACCAAAUGAGAUUAUAUUUUGAAUGGCGAAACUUAAUCAUAUAUAUCUUGAAUAAAAUGAAAGUCAUUCCUCUGGGAUUACAUGAAAUAGAACUUGCAAAUCUAUAAGUUUCUCUGAUUUUUCUGGUUUAUGGCAAACAUCUCUCCAUGCUUUUUCCAUACCUUACAAAAUACUGGUAAAUCUGGUAUUUAUUAUGCUGUUCAAUUCUGUACACUCUGAGACUUGCAACCUGGAGUGUGUCCAAGAUUCAGACC